UGACAGAUCAGGGUGGUGGUUGCUGAAGUUUGAGAUAGCUGUGGCAAUUUCUUAAAAUAAGGUAAAAAUGAAGUUUGCUGUGUCACGUGACUCUUCCUUCCAUGAACGAUUUCUCUGUAGCAGAAUCCUGCUGCUGCUUUAUCAACUCAGUUUAUAGAAUAUUCUAAAACCUUCGUUGUCAUUUCAACAGCGUUCACGGCGUCUUCACCAGGAGUAGAUUCCAUCUCAAGAAACCACUUUGCUCAUUCAUAAGAAGCAACUCCUCAUUUGUUCAAGUUUUGCCGUGAGACUGCAGCAAUUCAGUCACAUCUUCAGGCUCCACUUUAGUUUUAGUUCUCUUACUGUUUCCAUCACAUCUGCAGUUACUUUCUCCACUGAAAUAUCCAACCCCUCAGAGUUAUUCAUGAGGGUUAGAAGCAACUUAUUCCAAACGCCUGUGGAUGUUGAUAUUUUGACCUCCUUCUAUGAACCAUGAAUGUUCUUAAUGGUAUCUGGACUGGACAUGAAUGACAAGGGACCAGCAACAGAAGUCUUGCUAAAUAGGAGGGAGUCUGACUGCAUCCUUAUCAGAAAGAGGAUGGAGUCUCGCUAUGUUGUCCAAGCUCAACUAGAUAGACUAGAACUCCUGGGCUCAAGUGACCCUCCUGCCUCAGCCUCCCAAGUAGAUGGGAUCAUAGGUGUGUAUCACUGCAUCCAACUCAUAUAAUCAAGUUCUGAGCAACUUAUGCUCUCAAAUAUUAUUAAAUGAUACUCCCAAAGGAACUCUUACAUGCCAGACUUAGAUUUCCAUACAUCUGCUCAAGAUAGAACAUUUGAAUUUGACACAUGGCUUGUUGUCUGACAGCCAAAAAUUCAGUUUUGGCAGCAUCAGUGUCUUUGUCCACAGUAGAACAACAUUUAUGCCAUUAUUUCAAUAUAUUAUUACAAUGUCUUUUCAACAUUGUUUCUUAUAACCCCAAAACUUUUCAAAGGUGUUGCUUGUUUAUGAAGGUGGGAAAAAGGGUAAGAGUGAUGAAGUAGGAAGUAGGGAUUUUUAAUUUUUAAAACACAAACUUUUUAAUUUAUGUUUAAGACAAUACAAGAUUUUGUUUUAAAAAGUUGUUGCUAGAAAAAGAGCUUGAAAAUUACUGCUUUUUAAAACACGAGUGAAUAUGGAAAUAAUAAGUGUUGAUACUAAUGAUGAAAAUCAUAAGUAUCAUACAUUUAAAAUUGUUGCAAAUAUAGAAAACAAUAGACCUGCCAACAGCAAAACAUUUUUAGCCUACAAUACUCAUUGCUUUUAAGCUGGGAGACUAUCUAUUCCUUGGAGGAAGAAUGGGGAAAUUAAAGAACAUGAAUAAAAUGCCACGAAUAUACUGUGACUGCAUUUAACAAGGGAGGUGUGAUGAGGAAUUUUUAAAAAAAUUUUUUUAGCUUUUUUGGAAACAAAGUCCCAUGGUUGAAACACACAAACAUGUUCAAGUUUGCUGCACAUUUUCAGGAAUACAGUGUAUUCGAAAGAAAGUGGCCUGCACUAUAAAUCACGCAGGUAGGAAUUGUUCUGAGCCCAAGAAACUUCAACAUCUCAGAACUGGCUAACAACUUUUAAAUCCUAUAAAAGAAAGUUUUGACUCGGGUCUGUUUUAUGACUGCCUCUGGGACUAUGACACUGAUAUGCAGGAUUUUUCAGCCUUAACACUAUUGACAUUUAGGGUAGGAAAAUGCUUCAUCAUGAAAGGAGUUGUCUGAGCCUUGUAGUAUGUUUCAAAGCAUCCUUGACCUCUACCACUACAUUCCAGUAGCAUCCACCCUCUCCCACCCCAUCUCCAACUUUCUCUCCGCCCUGAAGAGUGACAAAAUGUCUCCAAACAAUGCCAAGUGUCCCAUGGUUGUAUAUUGCCUCUCUAGAGAACUACUGAUAUAAACUAUAGGACCAAGCCUGACAGAAGAGCAUAACCACAAAGUGAUGCUAGGAUUACUUCACAUGCUUUCUGGACUAAAGAAAUCCAAAUGAAACAACAUUAUUGGUUAAAGUAAUUGUGUUUCAGUACCUAACAGUUUCUCAACUGUUAUAGUUUAGGUCUUGCUUUCCAAGCAUUACUAAAUGGGCAAAUUCAGCUGAGACCAUUAUGUUAAUAUUGUCGACUUUGUUAGUUUAUAAGACAUCAUUCUACUGCUAUCUUGUACUUCAGUUUGGUGUUUUAUGACCUAUAAAUAUAACAAUCUAGGUGAGAGGUUUAUACUUUCAUGUAAGUGUCUUUGAAUGUUCCUUAUAGGUAAAAUUAGUGCUAUAAAAUAUGACCUCUUGAAUUUCACUGGGUUUUAAAUAAGGAUUGUUGAUAACUUGAAAACUCUUGUCUUUAAUUUUUAAUAAAAGUUCUAAGUAUGUCAAAUUAAAAAUUGUGGUAGCUUAAUUUUUAUUCUGUGAAUAAUUUACAACACAGAUGGAACUCAUUGACAGCUCUUAGGACCUUUUCAACAAAUAUUAAGUUAGCAUCUACCAAAUGUGAGGCAUAAGAAAUGAAGUGCUGAAUGCUAAUUUAAUGCCUCUUAAAGACCUCUCUGUCUGAAGUUUGU
rnacentral:lncRNA from 1 species